rnacentral:piRNA from 1 species
UGGCAUUCGCAUCUGUAUUUGCUGUAUUC